UUCUUUGCAUUUGUACAAUGGUCCCAGCAGAUUUUCUGCUGCUCAACAUCAUGAACAGUGGUUGAGAGGUCAGACUAUUAACUAAACCAUGAAGAAAUGUGGAGAUUGUUCUCUAAAGGUAUGAAAUUUGGAGAUUUUCUCCAUCGUCGUCAUGCUAUUUUACAGGUACAGCCAAGAGAAGAUCAUCACCGAGAAACAUUCUGUGCAAUUUUGCUUCCUUGGGAUUUGUCCUUCUUCAUCUCAGGGGUGCGUUCAAUUAUUGACUCACAAUAGACGAUCCAUAUGGUGCAAAUGAUUGAAGAUGUAGUCACUCCGAAACCAGUUCAUGGAAUAACAAACUUUGUUCCCAUUUUAAACAGCAAGCGAAAUGGGACAAAAAAAAAGAAGGCCAUGAAAAGAAGCAAGGAGGGAAAAUAUGGAUCUUCAUCAGAACAUAAGGAGAAGAUGAGAAGAGGAAUAAGCAGAUGAAGAGAAAAGUAUGAAUCUUCAGCCCAAUCAGGUUAUAAGUUUCUUUAAUUUAAGCAGUUUUUGUAAGGUUUUAUUUUAGUUCAAAAUACAUUUUUAAAUGAGUUUUUGAAAUGAAAAUGAGGUGAGGCUGAUGAAGGGAAAGAACAGAUCUUUGGUUUGAUUGAAUGCUUUAAGUUUUUUCUGUUACUUUUUCUUUGUAACUUGAGCAGUCUUCUGAGUUUCUUUCUUGUUUGCCUUUUUUUUUUAUUUCUGACUUUCUAUUAUGGAAUGUGAAGCAAAAAAGAAAGAAGAAAUAAUAAAAUUUCAUAGUCCUAAGCGAUUUUUUUUUAAAAAAAAAAAUUUGUGUGAGUUGCAUCUAUAGUUGUAGAAUUAGUUAUUAGAAUGAUUGAAAAAUUGGAUUUUGAUCGACUCAUUGUAGAUGGUAAGAGCUUGAAAGUAAUUGAUCAGAUAAUGCUUAGGAUCACAUCAGAUUGUUUUUGCUUUGAGUUUUCAUUUUUUGUUGGUUUAUUCAUUGUGUAAUUAUUUAUUAUGCUUUCAAUAAGAUUUGAUUUUGAUAAGAUUGUGUGAGGAUUCUAAUAGCUUUCAAAUGAUAAGGUAGAUAGUAGAAUCAUUUAUCCUUUUUGGUUUGGGGUUUCAUUUCAAUUUGUGGGAAUUAGGUACCAGAAGAGCUAUAUUUUGUGUUAUCAAUGUUAAUUAUCAUUGGAUUUGCUAAAAUUAGCAUUUGUGGUGUACAUUUAAAGCUUAAAGUAAUGCAAUUCAAAGCUUAAAGUAAUAAAUAGUGCUAUAGUGCCACAAAAAUUCAAGGCAUUAGUUAGACGAUUUUAGAAUCAAAACAAGGAGGAAUAACGAACAUCAUAGGUUAAGCUUACUAUUGCUUUAGGUAGAAUAAUUUCAAAUGUAUUGCACUUUGAAUAUGUCUGAAGAUCUACGUUGUAUUUGAUUGAACUGUUCCACUGAUGAUGCAUUAUCCUGUUGGGUUUAAUUAUUCUCGCUGGUUUUGAUUAAGAUUGUCUUUGUUGCUUUCUCGAUUCCUGAGAUAUGAUCCUUUUUCUUUUGUUUAGAAACAUUAAAAUUACCUCUCGUGCACUUGAAGUGUGAAGAUGCUCAUGGAUUAUUUGCAUUAAUAUCAUCAAGAAAUUUUGUCAGAUCUCGUUGCUUUUGGUUUCUCCUGAGGUAUUUGCAUUCAUGG